rnacentral:sRNA from 1 species
GACCCAGCGCCGAGCCCGAGCCAUGGCGUCCGAACGGCUCCCUAGCAGGCCCGCCUGUCUGCUCGUGGCCAGCGGCGCCGCCGAAGGUGUGUCGGCCCAGUCCUUCCUCCACUGUUUCACGAUGGCCAGCACCGCCUUCAACCUGCAGGUGGCCACCCCUGGGGGGAAAGCCAUGGAAUUUGUGGAUGUGACUGAGAGCAAUGCACGCUGGGUGCAAGACUUCCGCCUCAAGGCUUACGCCAGCCCCGCCAAGCUCGAGUCCAUCGAUGGUGCCCGGUACCAUGCCCUCCUGAUCCCCAGCUGUCCUGGGGCCCUGACCGACCUGGCCAGCAGUGGCUCCCUGGCCCGUAUCCUGCAGCACUUCCACUCUGAGAGCAGUAGGUGACCCCUGGGACCCAGGGGAGGGGUUGGAUGUGCAGUGUCACAAGAAAUGGGUCUCCCACCAGCAGAAGAGAGGUGGGAAGACUCCAGGUAGGCGUUUCUGGAUCUCUGGUCAGUGGCCACUGCAGUGGUUGUGGGCAGGAGGCAGGGACUGCCCCUUCCCCCGACACACACAGACUUUGUCGUCU